rnacentral:lncRNA from 1 species
GUUCUGUCCGUUUCUCCAGUACAUCUAACACCAUGUGAAGUUGCGCGGCUGAGUGCGGUCCCCAGGGCAUGGGAAGAUCAGGCAGCGCUAGCUCAGAACCCCUUCCAGCAGUGAAGCCUGGUGUCCAGAGCUGGGUUCCUGGCCAGCGUCCCAGGGCGGCUGGCGGCUCCGAGCCCCGACCGGGCGCAGAACAGCCGCAGAUGCCUGUCACCUCUCUGCUACACUCCGAUCACUUCGGCUCCCUCCAUUUCUUUUUCUCCGACAUUUUCACUGGGACACAAUUUAUACACCGCAAAGUCCACCUGCUUACAGCGUGCCGCUCAGUACGCGCAUCACAGGCUGGGACAGGUUCAGAACACCUGCACCGCACGGAAGAAACCCUCCGCCAUGAGCAGCCAGCCCUUACCCGGCCCCACGCAAACACCCACCGAUUUUCUGCCUCUAGAUUUGCCUAUUCUGGAAACUCUGUGAAAUGCAUUCGUACAGCUGGGUGUGGUCACACCUCUAAUGCUGGCACGCUGGGAGGCUGAGGCAGGAGGAGAGGAAAGCUCAAGCCCAGAGUGGGCAGUUAGCGACUUAAAUUUUAAAUAUUUAAGAAAAGCUGAGGCACUUGAGCACACACUCACACUCUCCUUUAUUUUGUCUAUUUUUUUUUUUUGGUACUGGGGCUUGAACUUAGGACCUUGCACCUGCUAGGCAGGUGCUUGUGCCGCUGAGCUAUAUCCCCAGCCCUGUAUUCUCUGAUUGUAUACUUUAACUCUAAUUCUGCCUAAAAAAAACUUCUCUAUACCUCUGGCAACAAUAAGUAAAUAAUAAAAGUAAGAAGAGCUUAGGGGUGUAGCUCAGUGCAAAUGCCCUGAGGUCGGUCUGCAGAAUCACAUAUGUGCACAUACAGAGGAGGGAUAGACCAGAGGGAGGGAGAAGAGAUAAAAGCAGGACCGUACGCUGAGCCAGGGGCUCUUAGUCUGAGUGGCUGUCCGGCCUGCUCAGGGCCCAGGCUUCCAACCCCAGCACUGCACAAGAAGAAAGAAAUGGACGUGGUGCUGCACCCUGCGAUCCAGCACUCGAG